rnacentral:rRNA from 1 species
UAGAGUUUGAUCCUGGCUCAGAGUGAACGCUGGCGGCGUGCUUAACACAUGCAAGUCGAACGCGAAAGGGGAGCAAUCCCCGAGUAGAGUGGCGAACGGGUGAGUAAUGUGUGGGUAAUUUGCCUUUCAGCGGGGGAUAACCCGGGGAAACCUGAGCUAAUACCCCAUAAUGUUGCUUGAUCUUCGGAUCGAGUAAUCAAACGAUGGCCUCUGCUUGCAAGCUAUCGCUGAAAGAUGAGCCCACAUCCUAUCACGCUUGUUGGUGGGGUAAUGGCCCACCAAGGCGACGACGGGUAGGCGGCCUGAGAGGGUAUCCGCCCACACUGGAACUGAGACACGGUCCAGACUCCUACGGGAGGCAGCAGUGGGGAAUUUUUCGCAAUGGGCGAAAGCCUGACGAAGCAACGCCGCGUGUAGGAUGAAGGCCCUA